CCCUGUCCCUUUUCCCCCUUUUCCCCUUUUUUCUUUCCCCAAAUCACCCGAGAUUCUCCAGUUUCAACCCUAGCAGAUUAACACCAGCAGCCCUGUCCCCUUUCCUCUUUCCCCUUUCUCCAAAUCACCCGAGACUCUCUACCCUAGCAGAUUAACACCAGCAGCACAACUGGUUCCACUCUCCACUCACCAGCAGCGCAAAUAUAUAACCACUCACCAGCAAUGCAACAAAGAUUCGAAACUUUCUUGGCGAGAAGAAGUUAUGUUGGAUCUCUAUGCUAUCCAGUGUCCCAUGCAUGCAUGCCUGUAUCUGCUGAGCUUCUUGUCUGUUGUUCACCCAUAUAUGCUGCCUCUAGAGUCUAGAGGACAGAGCCAUGGAGUCACUCACAUUGGGCUAGCUAAAUAUGAAGAGGAUGAUUUUCAGUGUAAUAGCGAUUGUUUUUUAAAUAAUUUUUUGUGCUGAAAUA